UUUGGUGAGGUGCCUUCCGAGUUCCCUGGAACGGGACGCCAUAGAGGGUGAGAGCCCCGUCUGGUUGGACGCCGAACCUCUGUAAAGCUCCUUCGACGAGUCGAGUAGUUUGGGAAUGCUGCUCUAAAUGGGAGGUAUAUGUCUUCUAAAGCUAAAUACCGGCCAGAGACCGAUAGCGCACAAGUAGAGUGAUCGAAAGAUGAAAAGAACUUUGAAAAGAGAGUUAAACAGUACGUGAAAUUGUUGAAAGGGAAGCGCUUGUGACCAGACUUGGGCUUGGUUGAUCAUCCGGGGUUCUCCCCGGUGCACUCUUCCGGCCCAGGCCAGCAUCAGUUCGCCCUGGGGGACAAAGGCAUCGGGAACGUGGCUCUCUCCGGGGAGUGUUAUAGCCCGUUGCGUAAUACCCUGCG
rnacentral:rRNA from 1 species